AUCGAACGCUGGCGGCAGGCUUAACACAUGCAAGUCGAGCGGGCACUUCGGUGUCAGCGGCAGACGGGUGAGUAACACGUGGGAACGUACCCUUUGGUUCGGAAUAACGCUGGGAAACUAGCGCUAAUACCGGAUACGCCCUUUUGGGGAAAGGCUUGCUGCCGAAGGAUCGGCCCGCGUCUGAUUAGCUAGUUGGUGGGGUAAUGGCCUACCAAGGCGACGAUCAGUAGCUGGUCUGAGAGGAUGAUCAGCCACACUGGGACUGAGACACGGCCCAGACUCCUACGGGAGGCAGCAGUGGGGAAUAUUGGACAAUGGGCGCAAGCCUGAUCCAGCCAUGCCGCGUGAGUGAUGAAGGCCUUAGGGUUGUAAAGCUCUUUUGUCCGGGACGAUAAUGACGGUACCGGAAGAAUAAGCCCCGGCUAACUUCGUG
rnacentral:rRNA from 1 species